CAGAGGAACCUGUUCUAUAAUCGAUAAUCCACGAUGGACCUUACUUAAAUUUGUUAGUCAGUUUAUAUACCGUCGUUAUUAGAAUAUUUUAUAAGAAUAAUAAUUUUCAUAAAAUUUAAUUAAAAUAUAUAUCAGAUCAAGGUGUAGCUUAUGUUUAAGUAGAAAUGGGUUACAAUAAAUUUAUUUAUACGGAAGUAAAUAUGAAAAAUUUACUGAAGGUGGAUUUGAUAGUAAAAUUAUAAAGAUUAAUAAUUUGAUUUUAGCUCUAAAAUAUGU
rnacentral:rRNA from 1 species